rnacentral:rRNA from 1 species
AUGAUACUGGGGAGAGGCGACACUGCCAGGUUUUGGACUGAUAACUGGACACCGGAAGGGCGUAGUAUUGCCUCCUUGGCACCAGCCUUGUUUUCAUUUGUGAAAGAUUCCAAGUUGUCAGUCCUGGAUGCGCUACACAAUCGAAGAUGGAUCAAGGACAUCAAAGGCGGCUUGACAGUCCAAGCCUUGGCGCAAUACUUAUGGGUCUGGGACAUUGCACAGGCUGCUGUACUCGAUUCGGAGGCUCGGGAUCGACUCGAGUGGAGGAGGACAGAGCACCACUAA